UCUGUCAAGAGGAUUAAACUCUGUAACUGAGUUCUGUCAAGAGGAUUAAACUCUGUAACUGAGUUCUGUCAAGACCAUUAAACUUUAUAACUGAGUUCGCUCAAGAGAAUAAACUUUAUAACUGACUUCUAUCAAGAGCAUUAAACUUUAUAACUGAGUUCUGCCAAGAGCAUUAAACUUUGUAACAGAGUUCUGUCAAGAGCAUUAAACUUUGUAACAGAUUUCUGUCAAGAGCAUUAAACUUUUAUAACAGAGUUCUGUCAAGAGCAUUAAACUUUUAUAACUGAGUUCUGUCAAGAGCAUUAAACUUUGUAACUGAGUUCUGCCAAGAGCAUUAAACUUUGUAACUGAGUUCUGUCAAGAGGAUUAAACUUUACAUCUCAUUUGUUUUUAGGAAAUUGGUGAACAACAGCCAUACUGCUGGAGAAAUAUAUUUUCCUGUAUCAACCUACUCAGAGUUUUGAACAAACUAACAAAGUGGAAACAUUCUCGUAUUAUGAUGCUUGUGGUUUUUAAAUCUGCUCCAAUCCUCAAACGAGCACUAAAAGUGAAACAUGCCAUGAUGCAGCUGUAUGUUUUGAAGUUACUGAAGAUGCAAACCAAAUAUUUAGGACGACAAUGGCGAAAAAGCAA